AACUCGACUACAUGAAGCUGGAAUCGCUAGUAAUCGCGAAUCAGAAUGUCGCGGUGAUACGUUCCCGGGUCUUGUACACACCGCCCGUCACACCAUGGGAGUUGACAACGCCCGAAGUCAGUGACCCAACCGUAAGGAGGGAGCUGCCGAAGGCGGGGUUGAUAACUGGGGUGAAGUCGUAACAAGGUAAC
rnacentral:rRNA from 1 species